rnacentral:rRNA from 1 species
AUGGACGUCAGUGUGUGGUUCCUGACACGCUCUGCUGUCAUCUUCGUACCGGCUCAUGUCCGCCCGUCAGAACCGGAAAUUUUCCAAAAAAAAAACUACGGAAUUUUGCUACUCCGUACUAGCAAUUCCGUACUGCUCCCUCCAUUCCAAAAUACUCCCUCCGUCCGGGAAAAGUUGUCUCCGACGACAUUUUGCGAAAAUCACCUCCCCUUUCCUCCGACAAACAACACACUCCCCGCGCCAGAGCCAGAGCUCCCUUGCUCGUCUCCCCCUCGCCGGAGCUCCCCCGCGCCAGAGCUCACCUCCUCUGCUCCCCCGCACAGCUCUCCCGCGCGUCGCCGGAGCUCCCUCUCCCCACGCCACUGCCGCGUUGCUUCCCCCCUCCUCGUUCCUCUCAUCGUCCCCCCAUGGCGAAUCACGGCGAGGAAGGCUCGACUUUUUUCGAUCUGCUAUCCGACGGCGUCCUUCCCCGAGGGCGGCGAGCCAGAGCUUCCCCUGCGCGUCGUCGACCACCUCCUCAUUGGCUGGACGCCGUCGACCACAAACCCAGUAUUCUCCAAGCGCACGCCGCUGUGUGGGUCGCCGAGAUGCCGAGGCCGAGGCGGAGCUCCAGGCCAUCGAGGUCGCGUACGCCGCCGAGUCCGGCAAGCGCCGCCAACUCCCAGACUGGUCCAAGGCACCCGCCCCCGCCUCCGUCUGCCCAUAGCCCAACCCAGUCCCCUCGCCCCCCUCCUGCCAAGUAGACGCGGGGCAGAGAAGUCAGACGGCGAGGAUGAGCAGAAGCAUCAGACGGCGAGGAGGAGCAGAAGCAUCAGACGGCGAGGACUCGAUCUGGGGGCGUUGGCUUCGCCCAACAGCUGCAGCAUCAGAGGCUGGAGGGAAUCGCGGCGGCAGCAGAAGGAAGCGGCGGCCGGCGACUUGCCCAAAUCCCGCACCGGCGGCCGCGGGCGCGAGGAAGCGGGCAGAGGAUGA